rnacentral:rRNA from 1 species
AGUUGGUGGAGUGAUUUGUCUGGUUAAUUCCGAUAACGAACGAGACUCUGUCCUGCUAAAUAGUUGGGUCGUCCUUCGUGCGAUCCAAGUUCUUCUUAGAGGGACUGGCUGCGUCUAGCAGCACGAGAUUGAGCAAUAACAGG